GGAAUGAAUCAGGCAUUAGUUAUCAGGAGGCAAGGAGUGUAUUGGACGAGCUCUGCAAAUCCCUGCUGACAUAAGGCCCGGUGAAUUGCAGGAGUCAUCUCCACCGUCAUGGUCAUGACUGACCCUUAGCACACACGUGACGCAAAAACAGGUGACAUUCUCAUUCCAGGCCGUCAUUCUCUCUUGCUCAUUUCCUAGCUGGGUGACUGUCCUCAUUCACCACUUGUCUCAUAUCCAGAGUUCAAAAUAAUACAAAACAGGAUGGUACCCUGGCAAAGCUCAGACCAAAGUGAGCCAAAGGUAGAAUUACCUUUGUUUUACAUCUGAGGAAAAUGAGUUUCAGAAAGCUCCUGGGGUUAUGAGAAAUAGAACUAGGGAGAGAAUCCAGGCCCCUGGGUCAGGGCACUGAUUCAUUCAUUUCACAGUUUCCUGAGUUCUAGCCCUCUGCCCAAUAUUGGGAAAACAAAGAUAAGACAAAUCCAGAUCAUAGAGGAGCUCAUAGUCUAGAGAGAGGAAGAGACGAUAAAAUGUGAUUAUGAUAAACACAGUAAGAAUAUAGAGCGAUAGAGGGCAGAGCUCUAAGAGAAGAAGGGGGAAGUUCUGGAGAGGAGGAGUUCCCGACAGAGCAAACACACAGCAUGAGCCAGCAAAACACCGAGGAGCACGAUCUAUCAGCAGAACCGUCUGGGACGUUCAGUGCCCAGGGACCAGGCCAGAGAAGCAGGCAGCAGGAGAUUGUGUGCCAUGCAAAGCAGUUGGAACUUGAUCCUGUAAGCAGUGGAGAGCCCAUGGAGGAUUGAAAGGAGAAGAGUAGCAAGAUCAAAUCUGCAUUUUAUAAAGGCUCUGGCCAGGGCUGUGGGGAAUGUACCAUCCUGCAGUGAUACUGGAACAAGGAAACCAGCUCUUGCUGCGUCCUUGCUAAUUCUCAGCACCUGUGAGAACCACUUCAGCAUCCUGACAGCACCUGAAGGAACUUUAGGACCCUCUCUCAAAGCACUGAGGAGCGGUACCGCACGUAUGGGGAAGAAAAGGCAUGUUCCGGAAAUGGCCCAAAGUUUUAUACGCUUUCACCAGCCCCAUU